UGAAGAAAGCCUGCUGUGGGGAUGC
rnacentral:piRNA from 1 species